UACGUAGGGUGCAAGCGUUGUCCGGAAUUAUUGGGCGUAAAGAGCUCGUAGGCGGUUUGUUGCGUCGGCUGUGAAAUCCCGAGGCUCAACCUCGGGUCUGCAGUCGAUACGAGCAAACUAGAGUGUUGCAGGGGGAGACUGGAAUUCCUGGUGUAGCGGUGAAAUGCGCAGAUAUCAGGAGGAACACCGGUGGCGAAGGCGGCAUCCUGGACCGAGAUUGACGCUGAUGCGCGAAAGCCAGGGGAGCAAACGGG
rnacentral:rRNA from 1 species